UUAAUCGCUUGUUUCGCUCGUUGUUGGUCAUUCCACUGAGAGCAGAGCAGCAGAGUGGUUGAGGCCGUGUGCUGUGAAGUCUAUAAAGACUGAGCCCCAGUGUGAUACUCCAUUCAGCCCAUGGAGGUGGAGGGAGAGAGGUCGUGUGCUAUGAAGUCUAUAAAGACUGAGCCCCAGUGUGAUACUCCAUCCAGCCCAUGGAGCUGGAGGGAGAGAGGUCGUGUGCUAUGAAGUCUAUAAAGACUGAGCCCCAGUGUGAUACUCCAUCAAGCCCAUGGAGGUGGAGGGAGAGAGGCCGUGUGCUGUGAAGUCUAUGAAGACUGAGCCCCAGUGUGAUACUCCAUCAAACCCAUGGAGCUGGAGGGAGAGAGGUCGUGUGCUAUGAAGUCUAUAAAGACUGAGCCCCAGUGUGAUACUCCAUCAAACCCAUGGAGCUGGAGGGAGAGAGGCCGUGUGCUGUGAAGUCUAUGAAGACUGAGCCCCAGUGUGAUACUCCAUCCAGCCCAUGGAGCUGGAGGGAGAGAGGUCGUGUGCUAUGAAGUCUAUAAAGACUGAGCCCCAGUGUGAUACUCCAUCCAGCCCAUAAAGGUGGAGGGAGAGGCCGUGUGCUGUGAAGUCUAUAAAGACUGAGCCCCAGUGUGAUACUCCAUCCAGCCCAUGGAGCUGGAGGGAGAGAGGUCGUGUGCUAUGAAGUCUAUAAAGACUGAGCCCCAGUGUGAUACUCCAUCCAGCCCAUGGAGGUGGAGGGAGAGAGGCCGUGUGCUGUGAAGUCUAUGAAGACUGAGCCCCAGUGUGAUACGCCAUCAAGCUCAUGGAGGUGGAGGGAGAGAGGUUGUGUGCUAUGAAGUCUAUGAAGACUGAGCCCCAGUGUGAUACUCCAUCCAGCCCAUGGAGCUGGAGGGAGAGAGGUCGUGUGCUAUGAAGUCUAUAAAGACUGAGCCCCAGUGUGAUACUCCAUCAAGCCCAUGGAGGUGGAGGGAGAGAGGCCGUGUGCUGUGAAGUCUAUAACGACUGAGCCCCAGUGUGAUACUCCAUCAAGCCCAUGGAGGUGGAGGGAGAGAGGCCGUGUGCUGUGAAGUCUAUGAAGACUGAGCCCCAGUGUGAUACUCCAUCAAGCCCAUGGAGCUGGAGGGAGAGAGGCCGUGUGCUGUGAAGUCUAUGAAGACUGAGCCCCAGUGUGAUACUCCAUCCAGCCCAUGGAGCUGGAGGGAGAGAGGUCGUGUGCUAUGAAGUCUAUAAAGACUGAGCCCCAGUGUGAUACUCCAUCCAGCCCAUGGAGCUGGAGGGAGAGAGGUCGUGUGCUAUGAAGUCUAUAAAGACUGAGCCCCAGUGUGAUACUCCAUCAAGCCCAUGGAGGUGGAGGGAGAGAGGCCGUGUGCUGUGAAGUCUAUGAAGACUGAGCCCCAGUGUGAUACUCCAUCCAGCCCAUGGAGGUGGAGGGAGAGAGGCCGUGUGCUGUGAAGUCUAUAACGACUGAGCCCCAGUGUGAUACUCCAUCAAGCCCAUGGAGGUGGAGGGAGAGAGGCCGUGUGCUGUGAAGUCUAUGAAGACUGAGCCCCAGUGUGAUACUCCAUCAAGCCCAUGGAGGUGGAGGGAGAGAGGCUGUGUGCUGUGAAGUCUAUGAAGACGGAGCCCCAGUGUGAUACUCUAUCAAGCCCAUGGAGGUGGAGGGACGGAGGGAGGCAGUGUGCUGUGAAGUCUAUGAAGAUGAUGAGGAAAGUCUGUGGCUGCUUCUACUCUUUAUUUGUUUUGAGGAAAAAGCUUAACAUAAAAUGUACUUCUUGGAGUACAUGGUCAUCCUUACAGUAGUAGAUGCUUUUAAUGAAGAAUAAUAAAAGCAAGACGAAAGAAGUUUGGUGUUUC